CCUACGGGGCGCAGCAGUAGGGAAUUUUCGUCAAUGGGCGCAAGCCUGAACGAGCAAUGCCGCGUGAACGAGGAAGGUCUUCGGAUCGUAAAGUUCCGUUGACGGGGAAAAAAGACCGGGAAAGGAAAUGAUCCCGGAGGAGAUAUUACCCGUCGAGGAAGUCACGGCUAACUACGUGCCAGCAGCCGCGGUAAUACGUAGGUGGCGAGCGUUAUCCGGAUUUACUGGGUGUAAAGGGGGCGCAGACGGCGAUGCAAGCCAGGAGUGAAAGCCCGGGGCCCAACCCCGGGACUGCUCUUGGAACU
rnacentral:rRNA from 1 species